rnacentral:rRNA from 1 species
UACAGAGGUGGCAAGCGUUGUUCGGAAUUAUUGGGCGUAAAGGGUGCGUAGGCGGGUCUUUAAGUCAGGGGUGAAAUCCUGGAGCUCAACUCCAGAACUGCCUUUGAUACUGAGGAUCUUGAGUUCGGGAGAGGUGAGUGGAACUGCGAGUGUAGAGGUGAAAUUCGUAGAUAUUCGCAAGAACACCAGUGGCGAAGGCGGCUCACUGGCCCGAUACUGACGCUGAGGCACGAAAGCGUGGGGAGCAAACAGG